rnacentral:rRNA from 1 species
UACAGAGGUCCCAAGCGUUGUUCGGAAUCACUGGGCGUAAAGCGCACGUAGGCGGCUUUCUAAGUCAGGGGUGAAAUCCUGGAGCUCAACUCCAGAACUGCCUUUGAUACUGGGAAGCUCGAGUCCGGAAGAGGUGAGUGGAACUGCGAGUGUAGAGGUGAAAUUCGUAGAUAUUCGCAAGAACACCAGUGGCGAAGGCGGCUCGCUGGUCCGGUACUGACGCUGAGGUGCGAAAGCGUGGGGAGCAAACAGG